UCCUUACUGUAGUGGCCUAGGACUUUGUGAAAACCUGAAAGGAGCCUGUUUAGAAGGGUGCAAGCCAAAUCAAUCAACUAAAUGCAUUUCAUAUGAAAGUAUGGCAGACAAUGCAACAGCAGACGAUCGUUCUAUAAUGCCUUCCAAAGGGGAAGAACGCUUCCAAGUCUGGAUGGUGUAUCUAGUUGUGGCAGGGGCAGCACUCACCACAAUCACGCUCUGCCUGUUAUUUGUAAGUCUCACCAAGCGAGAUUCCAUUAUGAAUUUGAAGGUGGUCGGCGAGUCUAUAGGCCUACCUCCAGCCAGACGGUUGAGCAGGAUCAGGUCGGAGAGUGUCGCCUAAACUUUGUGAUAGUGACUCAUACGUACCCUCUUUACAAACUACGUACAGUACAAUUGGACAAGUUUUUAAAAAGCUUUACAAUUGUUACACUGACAUAUAUAGUACUACGACUAAUUACUUUAAUUUCAAUUGGUAAAACUAAUUACGUAUGUCAGCUUUUUUUUUAUUUGAUCUUUCUUUAUAACUUUUGUUUUACUAUUAUGCGUGUGUCCGAGUACUUUAAAUUUCAUUUUUAUACCCAAAUAUAUAUGUCCUAUAUGAAGCAAAUAGACGAAUAUGCCGUACUAACAGCGGCUAAUAACGUAUUCACAUCAUUUCGGCUUACCGAGUCACUCUGUCGAGUAAGUCUAGAAGCAUUAGAUUUGCUGUCAGAAGAGAAGUGACCUCAUAGG
rnacentral:sRNA from 1 species